GCAGAGCCUGGCGGUCAGUCACUAGCUGUUCUGUUCCCUCCUCUGAGUACCUGCUGAAAAGGAUUCACAGCCGGGAAAAGCUUGGCUAAUGGAGGAUGAAGAGGGUUAUACGUCAUUACACCUUCGCCCAAAGGUGAGAACAGCAGACCGCUCACGUCAACCUGAGACCCAAGAUCAUCCUCCGUGCCCCUGCUGGCAUCGGCUCGCUCUGCGGCUGGGAGCAGCUUGGUUCCUCGUCCAGGUGGCAUCUGUGAUUCUGACGGGCAUUUGGGUUUUUCAGCCCAGACGGUGUCUGAAUUGCCUGGAGAACAACAGUACUGGGGAGAGACUCAUCCCUCAAUGCAACGGCAGCCCUGGCCUGACAGAUUUCCAGUCCCGCCUGAAACAAUUUGUGUGUGAAUCAUCUCCCAGCAACUCAGCAGGUCCUGUGGUACCUUUGAGAAGCUUUUACACUUCCAUUAUUCAAACCAGGCCUUGGGAAUACGGGAUGAGGGGAACCGUCGGGCUGAUGAAACAGGCUUUCUUUGAGCCAGGAAAUGCCAUGCAGGAUUUGCUGAGAUGUGGACUCUGAAGAGUCGCCAUUUCCCCUCUGGCUUCUGAUGCUCAGGAAGACUCUGCAGCACGACACCCGUAACAGCAUGAACAGUCAGAAAUGCUGGGCUCACCCUGAGGGACCAGGGUGCAAGCUCUGCCCCCCAGACUGGCUGCUGCACCGGGACAAGUGCUACUGGGUGUCUAAAAAUAGAACUCCCUGGAACAAGAGCCGUGAUGACUGUUCAGGGAGGGGCUCUCGACUGCUAGUGAUCCGGGAUCAGGCCGAGAUGACUUUCAUUCAAACGAAUUCCAAAGACACAAACGAGGUCUGGCUUGGACUAACCAGUACAUCCCCCACAAGGAAUUGGACUUGGAUGGACGGCUCCCUGUUAAAUACAACACUGUUCAAGGCAGUACAUCCCCCUAAGGGAAAUACCAGCUGUGGGGUGAUAAAAGCAUAUGAGAUUCAUUUUGAGAGCUGCAGUGCUGCAUCUAAAUGGAUUUGUGAAAAAGACGCUUUCCUGGUAUAGAGAGAAACACACUCACUGAUGUCAUCUCUGUGCAAACAAAAAUCUUCUUUAGUUUCUGUCUGUCACAUGAAUGAUGAAUAUGAAGAAUGUAAAGCUUCAAAAAGAACAAAU